GCCGAAGUGCUGGAAUUGGUAGACAGGCACGUUUCAGGGACGUGUGCUUUUUACAAAGCGUGUGGGUUCAAAUCCCACCUUCGGCA
rnacentral:tRNA from 2 species